rnacentral:snRNA from 1 species
GUGCUCUAUUUGGCAGCAUGUAUGCUAAAUUUGGAAUGAUACAGAGAAGACUAGCAUGGUCCCUGCACAAGGAUGGCAUGAAAAUUCAUGAAGCAUUCCAUAAAAAA